rnacentral:rRNA from 1 species
GACGAACGCUGGCGGCGUGCUUAACACAUGCAAGUCGAACGGAAAGGCCCUGCUUUUGUGGGGUGCUCGAGUGGCGAACGGGUGAGUAACACGUGAGUAACCUGCCCUUGACUUUGGGAUAACUUCAGGAAACUGGGGCUAAUACCGGAUAGGAGCUCCUGCUGCAUGGUGGGGGUUGGAAAGUUUCGGCGGUUGGGGAUGGACUCGCGGCUUAUCAGCUUGUUGGUGGGGUAGUGGCUUACCAAGGCUUUGACGGGUAGCCGGCCUGAGAGGGUGACCGGCCACAUUGGGACUGAGAUACGGCCCAGACGCCUACGGGAGGCAGCAGUGGGGAGUAUUGCACAAUGGGCGGAAGCCUGAUGCAGCAACGCCGCGUGCGGGAUGACGGCCUUCGGGUUGUAAACCGCUUUCGCCUGUGACGAAGCGUGAGUGACGGUAAUGGAUAAAGAAGCACCGGCUAACUACGUG